rnacentral:tRNA from 1 species
GUCCGAGUGGCGGAAUAGGUAGACGCGCUAGCUUGAGGUGCUAGUGCCUUAUUAAACGGGCGUGGGGGUUCAAGUCCCCCCCUCGGACACCA